UACGUAGGGUGCGAGCGUUGUCCGGAAUUACUGGGCGUAAAGAGCUCGUAGGUGGUUUGUCGCGUUGUUCGUGAAAACUCACAGCUCAACUGUGGGCGUGCGGGCGAUACGGGCAGACUGGAGUACUGCAGGGGAGACUGGAAUUCCUGGUGUAGCGGUGGAAUGCGCAGUUAUCAGGAGGAACACCGGUGGCGAAGGCGGGUCUCUGGGCAGUAACUGACGCUGAGGAGCGAAAGCGUGGGGAGCGAACAGG
rnacentral:rRNA from 1 species